rnacentral:rRNA from 1 species
ACGUAGGGUGCGAGCGUUAAUCGGAAUUACUGGGCGUAAAGCGUGCGCAGGCGGCUAUGCAAGACAGGUGUGAAAUCCCCGGGCUUAACCUGGGAACUGCACUUGUGACUGCAUGGCUAGAGUGCGUCAGAGGGAGGUGGAAUUCCGCGUGUAGCAGUGAAAUGCGUAGAGAUGCGGAGGAACACCGAUGGCGAAGGCAGCCUCCUGGGAUGACACUGACGCUCAGACGCGAAAGCAUGGGGAGCGAACGG